GCGGCCACAACGACGAGGAGCAGCGGGAGGAAUCAGGAACCAAAACCAACUUGGGAUACAGCAUCCAAAAGCUCAGGGAUCUGAAGGGGAACUGAGGCACAGAGAGGUCAAGUGACUCGCGCAAAGGUGUUGUCAAAGAAAGGGUCCCAGUGCUGCAGACACAUCACCAGUCUUUGGAUGGUAUUUAAAAUUUAGCCUUGUGAACAGCACCCAACAGCAAAUCAGGUGACAUGGCACAAACCACGACCUUUCGCUCAACCCAAGAGACUCAAGUGAGAAAGGAUUUCAAGUUUCAUCCCUACUGAACUGAACAAGACUGUCUCUAAACUGACAUCAAUACAAAUUUAUGAAGGCACAGAAAAUCCUAACCGCGAGAACCUGAACUUGGGAAAAACAGCCCCACUUUUCUCAAAAAAAAGAUGAAUCCACAAAGUAGAUCUUGCCACAGCAGAAGGAACAUGUGUCAUGGGAACAGCAGAGGCAAAAUGUGUCAUGGGAAAAUCUUGACGGAUUCAGCCCAGGAUGAGAAUGUGCAAAUUGAUGCAAAAUUAAAUGCAAUUGAACAUGAUAACACAUAUCCCAGCAAUGAAGAAAACUCACAGCAUACUUGCAAAAAAGAUAAAGUUUAAAUCCAAGGGGGGUCUGAAGAUGUCUAAGCAGUUCCCAGUGACAACAUUUUGGCAUGAAUAUGAAGAUUUCCCCAAAAAGGAGUUAUGAAAGUGCUGCAGAAAUGAAACAAGGAGUAACUGAAGUGCAAGGGUCAGUUACACAACUAAAUGGAAGAUGUGUAACCCAGCCCUCCUGCAUAACAACAAAGCAGGUACUAAGUAAUUAUAUUCUUUGUCUGUUACUAAAAAGUCACCCUGUAGUUCAUUUCUGGAAUACUGUAUUUUUUUCUUUUCCUGGCCUGCUCUGCUGGCAGAGUGAUUUUCAAGAGCUGCUGUUUUCCACCUCCAAAGUAGUUUGAUUUCACUUCCAGGCAAGACGAAACUCUAAACUAGCCUUACUUCUAAGAUCUUUGAAGAUCUGGGAAUGUCCUCUGGUUGUAUAUAAAGGGAGUGCAAUUCAGAGCCUGGUACAAAUACAUAAAGGGGUUCAAUAUUUAAUUAAACAUAAUCUUCCUUGUGGCAUGAGUGACUGAGCUCUUGCAGGCUGAACAUCCUUAAUUUUCACUGCACUGCUCUCCAAUAAGUGACAACACAAAACCUUUAGCUGGCCCAGGCUGGCCCAUCACCUGCCUUCACCGUGGUGGCACUAGCUGCCCUGCCACCGACGAGGAAACAUUUUGGACCCUAAUAACUUUCUACUUUUACAUGACAAAUUCAUCUCUUCAGGUUGUCAGAUCGCUCCAACAUGUCUCUACAGCACCAGGAAACUACUGAUGCCGUCCCCAUGCCUCUAAGCUAUCCAGACUGAAGGCUAAGAAGACAGAAUGUGGUGGGCUUGUACCAAAAUCAGCUCCAUUUCCCUCCCUGGAAGUAGGACAACAGUGAAAUCAGAAAUUACAGCCUUCUUUCAUAUCUGCAGAUUCAGCUCUACUGUCACUGCCAGCAAUUACAGCAUUAUCAGGUAGCAGCAUUCAUCUCAGGUGCUCAGCAUCUCUUCCAUGUCCUGGAGAGACCAUGCCCUUAUUAAAGGUCUUGUUUACAGACAGGGAAACUGAGGCAAAGAGCAAGGAUCCAAGUCCAGAGAAAUCAGUGGCAGACCAUCCAGAGCCACCGAUGAGACCCAGCAGACCUAAUAACUCCUCCAGCUAUUACAAGCAGGAAGAAAGGGCAGGAGUGCUCUUAGGGGCCUAACUGGAAACAGAUGAGUCACUGGAAAUCUUCCUCUCCAUUCAGUGGGCUUCACAUGAGGAUUUGAAAUAUUUGGAAUACACCCCCAAAUUGUUUAGGGUGUAUUGCUGGGAGGAGGGAAUGAGGCACGAAACUUGGGAAGUUUAGUCCCAAAGACUCCUCUUGGAAGCCAAGCUGUAAAGCUUUAUAUGCACCUGAAGCAAACAAUCCCUUUUCCCUGUCUGCGUCUGCCUGUGAAAAGGAAAAAGAAAGGGCAGCUGAUUUGUGAAUGCCUUCUUGCUAGAACUGUGGAUUUGAAAUCUCCAUCCUUGAUUAAAGUGGGGAAUGCAAUUGCACAAGCCAUUAAUUAUUACUGAUAAACCAAAGUAGUGAUGGAGCCAAAUAAAAAUCUCUUGCCACUACAAUCAGAUUCUGAAAAAAAGACAGAGCCGGGAGCCUCCAGCCUAUUUGCAUUUCCUUUUUUUGUGUGAAAUACGUGUCUGAAUUGCUAGGUCUCCAAACCUUGCAUGCACUUGGUGUACGUGAUGUCUAUAGGUACAGAUCAAGAGAGAUGAACUUUAUCUACACAAACGGCAAAAAGCAGCUUACAGUUCCUUUAACAUGUGACCAGUCCCAAUUACGGCUUCUUCCACAUGACAUCAGUAUGCGACGGAGGAUCUCACUUUUUUUUUUGCCAGAGGCAAAUGAAUACAUUAUCCAGCAGUGAGGCGUGGGGCAAGCGGAUGCGUAACUCUGGGGUGAUUUGGAUUCCACGCUCGCGCGGGGGUGUGAGCCAACCUCAGAAGUCAUUUUCACUGAUGCUGACACAUAAGGCAUCCCUCAGAGACCUGUCUAUCAAACUGCAACAUGCUAUGCAGAAAAAUUAGAUUACUCAUGCUACAAUAAAGAAGGAGAAGAUGACAAUGAUGAAAAAAAAGGACUUCAAAAUAUAACAGCUAUUUAUUAAAUGAAUAAAAAUCCUGACAAUGGGAAAGUAUCCUAGAGACUUUUUAUUUAUUUAUUUUACUUCUUGCAACCCAUUUCAAGGAGAGCUACUUGGAAAGACCCUAUUAAUUCAGACACUGCCUGUGGAAAAACCACCACCUCAUCAUGAU